UGACCCAACCACCAUUAAACGUGUGGCAACCCGAUUUAUUUAUGAUAGGGACAUCGCGAUUGCUGCCAUGGGCCCCAUCCAGGGUUUGCCCGACUACAACUGGUUUAGACGCCGGACUUACUGGAACCGUUUUUAGAUUAUUUUGGUUUUUCUUUAUCAAUGGAUCACACCGCAAAAUACAUUUUGGCACUUUUGUACAAGCUGAGUUUCUGGGAAACAACCAAGGGUAACGUUCCUAUUCAUUUUGGUGUCUUCUUGGUUCUUUAAUAAGCAUGCCUGUCUUCGUGUUUC